rnacentral:rRNA from 1 species
GGACUACCGGGGUAUCUAAUCCCGUUCGCUCCCCUAGCUUUCGCCCCCGAGCGUCAGAAACCAGCCAGGACACUGCCUUCGCCUUUGGUGUUCUUCCAGAUAUCUACGCAUUUCACCACUACACCUGGAGUUCCAUGUCCCUCUCUGGUCCUCGAAGUGCGGCCGUUUUUGCCCACCUGUGCCAGUUAAGCUGGCACCUGUCAGGGCAAACGCACCCCACCGCCUGCGGGCCCUUUACGCCCAGUAACUCCGGACAACACUGGCCCCCUACGUAUUACCGCGGCUGCUGGCAC